AGAGUUUGAUCCUGGCUCAGGAUGAACGCUGGCGGCGUGCCUAACACAUGCAAGUCGAGCGAUUUACUUCGGUAAAGAGCGGCGGACGGGUGAGUAACGCGUGGGUAACCUGCCCUGUACACACGGAUAACAUACCGAAAGGUAUGCUAAUACGAGAUAAUAUGCUUUUAUCGCAUGGUAGAAGUAUCAAAGCUUUUGCGGUACAGGAUGGACCCGCGUCUGAUUAGCUAGUUGGUAAGGUGAUGGCUUACCAAGGCGACGAUCAGUAGCCGACCUGAGAGGGUGAUCGGCCACAUUGGAACUGAGACACGGUCCAAACUCCUACGGGAGGCAGCAGUGGGGAAUAUUGCACAAUGGGCGAAAGCCUGAUGCAGCAACGCCGCGUGAGCGAUGAAGGCCUUCGGGUCGUAAAGCUCUGUCCUCAAGGAAGAUAAUGACGGUACUUGAGGAGGAAGCCCCGGCUAACUACGUGCCAGCAGCCGCGGUAAUACGUAGGGGGCUAGCGUUAUCCGGAAUUACUGGGCGUAAAGGGUGCGUAGGUGGUUUCUUAAGUCAGAGGUGAAAGGCUACGGCUCAACCGUAGUAAGCCUUUGAAACUGGGAAACUUGAGUGCAGGAGAGGAGAGUGGAAUUCCUAGUGUAGCGGUGAAAUGCGUAGAUAUUAGGAGGAACACCAGUUGCGAAGGCGGCUCUCUGGACUGUAACUGACACUGAGGCACGAAAGCGUGGGGAGCAAACAGGAUUAGAUACCCUGGUAGUCCACGCCGUAAACGAUGAGUACUAGCUGUCGGAGGUUACCCCCUUCGGUGGCGCAGCUAACGCAUUAAGUACUCCGCCUGGGAAGUACGCUCGCAAGAGUGAAACUCAAAGGAAUUGACGG
rnacentral:rRNA from 1 species